rnacentral:rRNA from 1 species
GCAUAAUCAUUAGUUCAUUAAUUGUGGACUGGAAUGAAAGGGUAUAACUGAGGGGGAUGUUUUAUUUAAUUAAUUUGAAAUUGAAUUGGAAAUUAAAAUGUUUUUAUGAAACCCUGGGACGAGAAGACCCUAAAAGCUUUAUAUAGGGUUAAUUAAUUAGGUUAAAGGUUUAUAUUUAAUUGGGGUAAUUUAUCUGAAGAUAGGAUUUUUAAGAGUGAAGGUUUAAAAUUUAAGUUACUUUAGGGAUAACAGCGUUAUUUAAUUUGCGAGUUCUUAUUAAUAAUUAAUAUUGCGACC